ensembl:lncRNA
GAGAAGGGUAUUCCUGCACAACUGGAGGCUGCAGUUUCAGGACCGCAGUUCUAGGACCCUAGUUUUUUUGUGACAGCGCCACCUACCGUACUGGAUCAACACUAAUUAAAGAUGGACGACGUGGACAGCAAUCAGACGAUGCAUAUAACAAUCCAAAAAGGGAGAUCCCUGCCCGAAUUGAAGAGAUGCACCACAUGCUGCAAGGACUUUCACUGCCCGUUCUGUAGUUCAGCUUUGUUCCACCCAUCAAAGUUGAGCAAGAUCAGAACCCAUUUAGAGAGCCAUUUCAAUCGUGCAGUUAUCCAUGAAGGGUAUACCAUUCACAGAUGUGGGUUACAUUGCCGACCACAGUUGCAUUACCACUGUAUCCACUGCCAGUCAAUGCUGUUACGUAAAUCUGUGAGGAACAGCAGGACAUCUUGUUUUCUUAUCUGAGAGGAGUGCUGGAUAGAACACCAACAGAAUUGAGCUUCACAGAUGAAGUGCAGUUCAUCUGUGAUGUUCUUUUUCCGGAGGUAUGCCGGUCCAUGUAAUUUGUUUGUUUGUGUCCUGCUCCUGCACUUUCAAAAGCUACUGUAUAAACUACAUGCUGGUGCUACUCAUGUAUGGACCCAUGUUUAAUAGCUUGCUGUUCAGUAGUGCUAUAACAGUAUAUUUAUAUUAAUGUUUUUCAUAGGCCAUCAUAUAUGCCCUGGCUGCCCUCCGGAAUUUGUCCUUGCAGGAGGCUGAGCAGGUCUUCCUUUCUGGUCCAGAUUAUCAUUUCAGUGAAGUGGAAGAAUUUAAUAGAAAGAUUGACAAACAAUUGAGGAAAGAAGGGAGAUCAUUCAAUUGGUCUGGUGCCUUUCCUGAUCUCCUUCCUUGUAGGCUUUUUAGUGCAGACUGCAGAGAUGGAGAGGAUCUCAAUGGAUGAAUUCGG